UACAGAGGGUGCGAGCGUUGUUCGGAGUUACUGGGCGUAAAGGGUGUGUAGGCGGUUCUUUAAGUUUGGUGUGAAAUCUCCCGGCUCAACUGGGAGGGUGCGCCGAAUACUGAGGGACUAGAGUACGGGAGAGGAAAGUGGAAUUCCAGGUGUAGCGGUGAAAUGCGUAGAUAUCUGGAGGAAUACCGGUGGCGAAGGCGGCAUCCUGGACCGGCAUUGACGCUGAUGAGCGAAAGCUAGGGGAGCAAACGGG
rnacentral:rRNA from 1 species